rnacentral:snRNA from 1 species
GGCUUUGCGCAGUGGCAGUAUCAUAGCCAAUGAGGUUUAUCCGAGGCGCGAUUAUUGCUAAUUGAAAACCUUGGUCACAGUCAUGUCUAUUUUUUUUAAAGAUUUAUUUAUU